AGAGUUUGAUCAUGGCUCAGGAUGAACGCUAGCGGCAGGCUUAACACAUGCAAGUCGAGGGGUAGUAGGUGCUUGCACUUAUGAGACCGGCGCACGGGUGCGUAACGCGUAUGCAACCUACCUUGAACAGGGGGAUAGCCCAGAGAAAUUUGGAUUAAUACCCCAUGGUAUUAUGAGAUGGCAUCAUCUUAUUAUUAAAGUCACAACGGUUCAAGAUGGGCAUGCGUCCCAUUAGCUAGAUGGUAAGGUAACGGCUUACCAUGGCAACGAUGGGUAGGGGUCCUGAGAGGGAGAUCCCCCACACUGGUACUGAGACACGGACCAGACUCCUACGGGAGGCAGCAGUGAGGAAUAUUGGUCAAUGGGCGCAAGCCUGAACCAGCCAUGCCGCGUGCAGGAUGAAGCAUCUAUGGUGUGUAAACUGCUUUUAUACGGGAAGAAACCCCGCCUCGUGAGGCGGAUUGACGGUACCGUAGGAAUAAGGACCGGCUAACUCCGUGCCAGCAGCCGCGGUAAUACGGAGGGUCCAAGCGUUAUCCGGAAUCAUUGGGUUUGAAGGGUCCGUAGGCGGGCCUGUAAGUCAGUGGUGAAAUCUCCCCGCUCAACGGGGAAACGGCCAUUGAUACUGCAGGCCUUGAAUUAUUAGGAAGUAACUAGAAUAUGUAGUGUAGCGGUGAAAUGCUUAGAUAUUACAUGGAAUACCGAUUGCGAAGGCAGGUUACUACUAAUGGAUUGACGCUGAUGGACGAAAGCGUGGGUAGCGAACAGGAUUAGAUACCCUAGUAGUCC
rnacentral:rRNA from 1 species